rnacentral:rRNA from 1 species
CGAGUCCGAGUCUCCACGGAGACGAAGUGGCGGUCAUCCAGCUUCCUAGAAAAGCUCUAACCACGUUAAUCUUUAGUUGCCUGUACCCGAAACCGACACAGGUAGGGGGGUAGAGAAUACCAAGGGGCGCGAGAUAACUCUCUCUAAGGAACUCGGCAAAAUGACCCCGUAACUUCGGGAGAAGGGGUACCACUGAGAAGUGGUCGCAGUGAAGAGGCCCAGGCGACUGUUUACCAAAAACACAGGUCUCCGCCAAGUCGCAAGACGAAGUAUGGGGGCUGACGCCUGCCCAGUGCCGGAAGGUUAAGGAAGUGGGUUAGGGAUUCGUCCCGAAGCUGACGACUGAAGCCCCGGUGAACGGCGGCCGUAACUAUAACGGUCCUAAGGUAGCGAAAUUCCUUGUCGGGUAAGUUCCGACCCGCACGAAAGGCGUAACGAUCUGGGCGCUGUCUCGGAGAGAGGCUCGGCGAAAUAGGAAUGUCUGUGAAGAUACGGACUACCUGCACCUGGACAGAAAGACCCUAUGAAGCUUUACUGUAGCUUGGAAUUGGGUUCGGGCUUGGUUUGCGCAGGAUAGGUGGGAGGCGAAGAAGAUUUGCUUGUGGGUGAAUCUGAGCCAACGGUGAGAUACCACUCUAACCAGGCUAGAAUUCUAACUUCAACCCGUCAACCGGGGGAAGGACAGUUUCAGGUGGGCAGUUUGACUGGGGCGGUCGCCUCCUAAAAGAUAACGGAGGCGCACAAAGGUUCCCUCAGGCUGGUUGGAAAUCAGCCAACGAGUGCAAAGGCAGAAGGGAGCUUGACUGCGAGACCUACAAGUCAAGCAGGGUGGAAACACGGUCUUAGUGAUCCGACGGCACCGAGUGGAAGGGCCGUCGCUCAACGGAUAAAAGUUACUCUAGGAUAACAGGCUGAUCUCCCCCAAGAGUUCACAUCGACGGGGAGGUUUGGCACCUCGAUGUCGGCUCAUCGCAACCUGGGGCGGAAGUACGUCCCAAGGGUUGGGCUGUUCGCCCAUUAAAGCGGUACGUGAGCUGGGUUCAGAACGUCGUGAGACAGUUCGGUCCAUAUCCGGUGUAGGCGCAAGAACAUUGAGAGGAGUCUUCCUUAGUACGAGAGGACCGGGAAGAACGCACCGCUGGUGUACCUGUUAUCGUGCCAACGGUAAACGCAGGGUAGCCAAGUGCGGAGUGGAUAACCGCUGAAAGCAUCUAAGUGGGAAGCCCACCUCAAGAUGAGUGUUCUCAUGGAGUAAUCCAGUAAGGUCACGGGAAGACGACCCGUUGAUAGGCGGUAGGUGGAAGUUCAGCAAUGGAUGAAGCCGAGCCGUACUAACAGACCGAGGGCUUGA